rnacentral:rRNA from 1 species
GUACAAGCAGUGGGAGCACGCUUAGGCGUGUGACUGCGUACCUUUUGUAUAAUGGGUCAGCGACUUAUAUUCUGUAGCAAGGUUAACCGAAUAGGGGAGCCGAAGGGAAACCGAGUCUUAACUGGGCGUUAAGUUGCAGGGUAUAGACCCGAAACCCGGUGAUCUAGCCAUGGGCAGGUUGAAGGUUGGGUAACACUAACUGGAGGACCGAACCGACUAAUGUUGAAAAAUUAGCGGAUGACUUGUGGCUGGGGGUGAAAGGCCAAUCAAACCGGGAGAUAGCUGGUUCUCCCCGAAAGCUAUUUAGGUAGCGCCUCGUGAAUUCAUCUCCGGGGGUAGAGCACUGUUUCGGCAAGGGGGUCAUCCCGACUUACCAACCCGAUGCAAACUGCGAAUACCGGAGAAUGUUAUCACGGGAGACACACGGCGGGUGCUAACGUCCGUCGUGAAGAGGGAAACAACCCAGACCGCCAGCUAAGGUCCCAAAGUCAUGGUUAAGUGGGAAACGAUGUGGGAAGGCCCAGACAGCCAGGAUGUUGGCUUAGAAGCAGCCAUCAUUUAAAGAAAGCGUAAUAGCUCACUGGUCGAGUCGGCCUGCGCGGAAGAUGUAACGGGGCUAAACCAUGCACCGAAGCUGCGGCAGCGACGCUUAUGCGUUGUUGGGUA